GACGAAGGAUGCAAGCGUUAUCCGGAUUCAUUGGGGUUAAAGGGAGCGUAGGCGGCCCUAUAAGUCAGUGGUGAAAUCUCUCGGCUUAACCGAGAAAUUGCCAUUGAUACUGUAGGGCUUGAGUACAGUUGCCGUUGGCGGAAUACGACAUGUAGUGGUGAAAUACAUAGAGAUGUCAUAGAACACCGAUUGCGAAGGCAGCUAACGAAACUGUAACUGACGCUGAGGCUCGAAAGUGCGGGGAUCAAACAGG
rnacentral:rRNA from 1 species